UUCUCUGCGAACAUGGGUAAGUGCAAGGGGAAGACUGAGUUUCAUAACCAGGAUGAGAAAGAUGGAACGAAGAUGGGAUAUUUCCACCUGAACUUCCAGGCAGGGUCACUGGCUGUCAGUCCCAGUGCUUCUGAGACUCCGGAGCUGUAGACCAAACCAGCAAACAUCUUAGAUUCCUAUCAUGCACCAGCAAGGUUCUAGGACACAGUGGAACACGAAGGAGCCAGAAUCUGCUCUCAGGACUGCCAUGGCAGUAGGGGAACACCAGCAGUAGCACGUGUUCGUGGUUGAUUCUGUUUCCCAGCUGACGAGGAUUUCGUCACAGGCUAUACCACAGUGAGGGACAUUCGGGUUGUUUUCACUUUGGGCCAUCAUAAAUAAAACUGCUGUCAAC